GUAGAGUACAUAGCUAACUGGUCAUCCAGUCAGUACAUAAUUAGCACCAACCACAACGACGCAGCCAUUACCGCCGUGACGUUUCAUGAGCAGAAUUAACUUCCAUCGGCGCAAUUAUGCCGCCAUCGACCAACAAAUUGUGAGGGACGCUAGCUGGGAUUUGCAUUAAUCGUGCAACAAAUGAGAGCAAAUCUUGCUAGCAAACACAUACUCCUACUACCUCGUAGUACGUAGUAAAUAAAUCCACGAUUUCUGGUUAUGAUACCAAUGAGCCUCCAAAUUAUUCAACUCCGAGAUUGUUGCAAUUUAUUUCGAUCUGACGUUUCAAUGGCUGGCUCCGAAGAUAUCGAGAGAGGAUUUAGAUGGUGAGUGAGAUGAGAUCCUCUUCUUCCCAUCCACCGUCUCCACUCCACCACCGCAUUCCCCUCCAAUCUCUCCAUCCGGCCUCCACCACAACCAUGGAUGCCGGCAACGCCCCCCUCUCCCUCUCUCUAUUCCACCGCGCGCGAUGAGAUCCCCGGCUCGGCGACCACCUGCACCGCCGGCGAGCGCGCCGCUGGUGGCCGGCUGCUUCUCCGCCCGGCCCUAUUCAUCCUCGUCCCCCACCUCGGAUGGCCUCCUCCAAUGGCGCCAGCAGCUUCGGGGGCGUUUCCGGUGGGGGGACAGAGAGCUUGAGCUCGACCACUGCCUACUCGCACAAGGGGACGACCUCAGGUCAGGUACAUGCUCCACGACCAGACCAGCUCGUCUAGCCCCAUCUCAACCAAAAGAUGGAUAUCCCCUCGGUGGAGGUGACUGAUGACAGCCGCGAUGAAGCAAAUGCCACUUCAUUUGUAUCUUUCUGAUGCUGCAAGACUAUGCAUUAGUUUCAUGCUCAGGGUAAACCCGCUGCGUCUAAGUUGGCUGGAUUAUUUUCUUCGGACUUUUUUUGCAGGGGUCGGAACAUACGCAAUGUACAAAUACAGGCUAAGGUUAGAUGGAUUCGGAGAACCGUGCCAUCAUGGCCCAGUACAUGCCGUUGGACAGCUAAGGAGGAAACCAACAGCAUAUCGCGCAUGUUGGUGAUGAUAUCUCAGAGUGGCGCUGAUAUCUGAGGUCAGCUUUACAUAGGUCAAAACAAAGACACGAUUUGUACUAGGAGAGAAUAUUUGAUGCAUGAUUGUAGGACUGUUGUGUGUUGUGCACUCCCUCAUUUUUGAUAGACGAUGAACAACAUAAUCGUAAUCAUCACAGUUUACCUCCUUUGUAGGCUCUUGUGAUUCUUAUUCUUGCAGUUCUUAGUGUACAUAUUUAUUGCCCUAACAACUAAGAGUUACGCGUUGCUGGGGUACGUACCGACUCACAUACUAGUCAUAACUAGUCUCGAUUAGUGGUAGACUUAAUUAUCGACAUGUAGUCCAGUUGUAACUACUAAAAAAAUACUAAGUAAACAUGCUACUAAUAGUAGAUAUUGAUGGCAUAAGGGAGUGGAGAGCAGCUCAAGACACAGGUACAGUUGUGAAGGAGAUCAUGGGUGGAGGAAUGAAGCACAAUAGAUGGGUGAUAGGCGGCGGUGCCCGCACCGCCAGCGAGCUGGUGGUGGCCAGGUGAUAGGCGGCACAAGGGGAAGGGAAGCCAGAGGAAAGGCGGUUGGGUAGGAGGGGUAUUUUUCGAUCUGGAGGGGUAGAGUUUCACGGGUAGGCCUUUUUGUCCCGCCUCAGAACUAGUCGUUCGACUCAAAAACAGAGACUAGUUAUGUUUUAGAUAGGAAGAUAUGUCUUUAUAGUGCGGGCUUGGUUUGGUUGACUUACUUAAUGUCAACCUGAUCCAGUGAGUUUUCUUUCAUGUAGGAUUGACCUAGAGCUUGUUUUUGUUAUCUCCAUUUUGUCUUAUUUAUGCUUUUUGACAAAGUUAAAUUUGGUAUGUUGUUUGUUUGGGCUUGUCAUUGCGGGGAUUUCACCAUUACUCUAAAAAUGAGAUGGUUAUAUGAAUUCUUGUUAGGUCGGCAUCAUUUUCUUCUUUUAGUGCUACUCCCUUAUGUUGUUUCCUAUGUCAAAUUCUCACCAUCUGUGAGAUCUUUGUAAUUAUGCUUGCUGCUAUGAGAUAACUUUUUUUUUAAUAGUUGAUUAGGCCGUAAUUGCGAAUAUGCAUGCUGCUGCAAAAUUGAUGAUUUUUUUAUUGUCCAUUUCUCUACAAGCAUGAAUAUUAUAGUUCUCUGUACAAAUUCAACUUCCACCUCUGUUUGCAUCGCUUUCCUGAUAUUGUGGCAAAUUAACAAACGGAAGAAACCCGCUACAUGCGGGGGUAGCUGUGCAUCCCUUCUGCACUUGACACCUGUCCAAACGGUCAACGCCAAUAAUAACCCCCAGCGCGUUCUUAACUCGUUAACAACCGAUUAAUUAGCAUCGGCUCCUUCCUCGUAUCUGGUUCUAUCCCUUGUUUCUACAGUCGCCCGCGCGGCGGCGAUGUGAUCAGGAAGCCUCAUCCUCCGCCCUCCCACCAUGGACGCUGAAGGAGAUAGCGCUGAACGCCGGGACAAUGGAGGUGCAAGGUGCCUGGGAACGAUGUUGAACAGCGCUGGACACAGCGGCAUAAAAUCAUGCCAGCGAGAGCUCGAGGGGGCAGCUAUGCAGGUAUUGAUGAUGAGAAAAAACAACGGUAUUGAUGUCGAGAAAACAACAAAGGAGAUCGACUCGCUGAUGCAUGGGCGAGGUCACUGGUGACGGUGUUUGACUGGCUGGGGGGACGGGCUCUCUCUGGCCCAGGAUGUCGGCCGAGGAGCCACAGAGGACUGCUGCCGAAAGUGCAGUUGGAGUUGUUGCUAAUGGCAUCUUCUGGCGAUCUUGAGCUACUGCAUGCAUUAAAUGUUCCAAUUGUUUUACUCGUGCCAUGACAGAAAGGAAAACAACAUUAAUUGGCCUUUUAGCUUUGCCCGAUCAAACCAGAGUUCCAACUCAGUGCAAAACUUGUGCCUCAAGGCCUGGGCCUCAGAAGACGAUCGAGGAUAGACUCUGCUGGUGAGGAGCAUGCCCCUUGGAUCUUUUUCUGGUUCUUAUCGCCUCCCGGAGACAUGCAAUAUCUUGGUACCUAGGUGGUGCCUAAUCCACAUCAUUUCAGUGUAAUCCAAGUGUGGAUGGCAGCAUGAGAGGGGACCCAAGACAUUGACCUCCUAUUGUGGUCAAGGACCAAAUCGAGAGAUUUUUCUACUCACCUGUUGCAUGGCAAGUAUGGUCAUCCAUUACACAAAUGAUCCUGUUUCAGCACCAUGGCUAGAAACUGAUGAGAAGAUUUUUUUUGAAAAUAUAUUGAUAUAUGAAUGUUCAUGGUAGAAGUGAUGAGAAAAUUUUGCUCGUGUUAGAACCUGAUGAGAAGAUGUUGAUGUGAUAAUGCAAAAGUUUGCAGUGCAAAAUCAUGGUAGCUAUUGAUGAGAAGAUGUCUAAACUCAGUUGGUUUUCGUGUUGCUACCUGAGCACUCUUGAUGCAAUCUAAUGUCAGCUCUCAUGUAUAUUGUAGUUUCUCUCAUGUAUCUUUGAGCUUAACAUGGUACCUAGUAAAUGGAUGUUUCUUAGUUCUUGUGAGUUGAUUUAUUGUCGUGCAAUCAAA